CGCAAAGACAGAAGCACAAUUUGCAUUUCGUAUAUUUUUAGUCAACACAUCAAAUAUUGUAACUGGCAUCUCGAAAUAGUAAAUGCAAGAAACUGUUACACACGCACGGAACCGCUGACGUGGAGUAUUUAAAAGGAAACUGCCACACCAUCUCAAAGCCAGUUUGCCAAUAUCGGUCCUACCGCUACUCAGACAUCACAGUUUUCCAGAGUGCUGGCACGCCUGCUAUCAAGCGUCUUUGUCUGAUCAAACUACAACAUGUACAUUAUUUCCAAACAACGUGAAGUUUAUGACGUUAGCUAAUAUUAAUGUUUUCAGGUUUCUGUUUUAGAAUUAAUGUUUCUGGUUUUUAUUCUAAGUUGAUAAUUUAUAUAUUUUGUUAACCAUUACAAUAUUGUUAGUUUAGCUGGAAGAAAUUAAAAUGUUUUUUGAAAACCGUCAUAUUAAUGAUAAAAGGCAUUUGUCUUAUCGGGUACUGUUGAACUAUCCUUUGGGUGCCUUGUUCAAGCAUAAGAUGUGUGUUUCAAUUACUUGUAGUACUUAGCUCUUAGAUCCUGUCAUGGCCCUGCCUUUUCAUGGCAAUGUUUUCAGAUAUCACUACGUCAUAUAUAGUAUCCAAUUUAAUAAAAUGUGUUAUAGUUUUGGAUUUUAAAUGUAAAGAAAACAACUUUGA